AAAAAGUUAAGUUGCAACCGUUCCCAGGGUGUUCCGUAUAAAGAUAAUGUCAUCAUAUUUUGAAACAAAGUACAAGAAGUUGGUGAAUGGGGUGCUGAUAGACAAUUGUUGAUGGAUAUUUAUAGAGAUCUGAUCAGGACAACACUUGAUUACGAGUGUAGAGUUUAUGGAACAGCGCGGAAGACUUUGCUUCAGAGGCUGGACAGAAUCCAGUAUAUAGCUUUAAGGAUGUGUAUUGGUGCAUUUAGGCCGUCGUAAAAUAAGACUAACCGAUUUGCCUAGUUAAAUAAAUAAAAUAUUUUUAAUUAUCAACAUCUGUAUAUGCCUUAGUAGUGGAGGCAGGUGAGAUACCUUUAGAAAUACGGCAUAAAAACCCAAUAAGCAUUUUCUUAAGUUGAAAGGCUGCCAUUGAACAUUGAGUUUAACAUGUCAAUAGAUUGUUGUAGCUUUGACAUGAAUGUAUAUUAGCUACUUUAAUCACAUUAUGAUUUCUGAAGAUGAGUUGAGUUUACCUUAAGGGGCAUUUACCUAGAUUUAGCCAUUUGCAGCUAUGGAGAAGAGGCAAUGCCAAUAGCCGUAUCAAUUUUCAGUCUGUGACUUGCUUCGCCAAAGCCAUCAAUAGUUGGGCGCAGUGGUCUAAGGCACGGCAUCUCAAUGCUAGAGGUGUCACUACAGACACUCUGGUUCAAUUCCAGGCUGUAUCACAACUGGAUGUGAUUGGGAGUGCUGUAGGGCGGUGCACAAUUGGCCACAAGUGUAGACUGUCAUUGUAAAUAAGAAUUUGUUCUAACUGACUUGCCUGGUUAAAUAAAAAAAACAUAUUCAGCAGAAACAGGUAUAGAACCACAUAAAUAUAGUCUGAUUUGUAUAAAAUAAUUGUCUGAAGUUGUCAUGUGUUCUGACUUCCAGCUCUAUGUGAGCCAGGUGGAGGACUUCAGAUGUGUGACUUCCAGUCUACAGCCAUCAGCUGCAGACAUGCCUGCCUCCUGGAGCCUCAGGCUAAGGCCCUCCACAAACCUCUGGCCUGUGAUCUUCUUAGAACAGUCUGGGAAAACAUUCAGACAUAAUGAUCAUCCCUACACAGUCAAGCACGCACCCAGCACUGUUGAAAUAACUCUUGCUUUCACUUGAAAAAACUUUAUAAAAAUCUGAAAACUGUUGUAAUUGUCUUGUUUAGAGAAUAUAGAUAAUAUUUAGUUUUGUCCACUCCACAGGGGAUGUUCCUGGAUGCUCUGGAGUUGUUUUCCAAGGCCUUGCUGCUGGUCAUAUCACAUGAGGAGGUCAGUGUGAAAUUCGAGGUAUUCACAUAGCUAUGUGCAUGAAAAUUAAUAUAGUUGUUACUGUCUCCACUAUAUACAAACACUUUCUUUGGUUUUAUCCAAAUAUUAUCUGCCUAAGGAGGGCAUGUGAAAUCCUUUGACCUCAGCCAUCUCUACAGACAGACACUCCUUGCACAGCCAACAGAUGGUGCUAUUCACCUAAGAUUUAAAACAAUGUUUCACGGGUGUGAACCACGGAAGUGUCUCUCUUUGCUGCUGUUGUAGCCUGGCAUGUCUGACGGCCCUGGGCCGCUAUUCUGACUGUCUGAGGCUGGUUAGUAACUGGCAUCAGGUAGACUCUGAGACCGCAGAUCUUCUCACCCUCAGAGCACGUCUCCACAAACAGCUCAACCAGGUCAGUAGUACACUCUCACACUCUGUUUCCUCGGUGUUAACGCUUGGCAAUAUCUGACAAUACCAUGCUAUAAAGAACGCAGGUGUGACGAUUUCUAGCACCAAAUGUAAUUUCAACCACUAACCUUAUGAGCUGUAACCUUUGGGAAAAAUUGCUUAUGUACCAGUUCAACACUUGUGACAUCAUUUCCACUUUUGUCCUCUCGGACCAUCUAGUGACUACCUAUAGAAAAUAUUUAAAAAGCCAAAUUUACAUGCAUUCUAAUGGAAUGACAGGACCAUUCUUCAUUAGUGAUGGGGGGAAAAAAUCUAUACAGUUACAUAUCGCAAUAUUAUUUUUGGAAGAUAUAUAGAUAUUUGACUCCCAAAAAUUGCUACCAUAGGUAGCGUUAACAAGCGCUAGUCAGCUGUGCCUCUUCCAAAACGUAAGUAUUUUUCAUCCUAUAGCUUGUUCUCCAUCUUCUUUUUAAAUAGUGAGCCAACAUGUUUUCAGCACUUUUAUUUCUCUGACGGAUCAAAACUUGUUUUCUCUUGUCUCUCUGCAGCAGACAUUUAGUGAGCAAUAUGUUUGGAACAUAAAAUCGCAAUAAAAUGUCAGUAUGGAAUCGCAAUACAUAUAGAAUCGUGAAAAUCGCAAUACAUAUCUUAUUGGUACUAAGUAUCGUGAUAAUAUCGUAUCGUAAGGUCCCUGGCAAUUACCAGGACUCUUCUCCAUACAGGUAUCACUGUGCUACCCUGAUCUGAGGUCAGCCGUGGUCCUCAGUCCAUCGUGCCUAGAGGCAGGUGCCCUGCUGGGUUAGAGGAGGCCUGUGAGAGGGCCAGGCAGCAGGCCAUCAGCAGGGCCCUGGCAGGGAAGCUCACGGAGGCCCUGUCCAAGAUCAACAUGGCCCUGGAGCAUUGCACUGAGACUGAAGAACGAUCUGGCCUUAAUAGCGAUGCACUCUUAUAAUCUCCACCCGGCACAGCCAGAAGAGGACUGGUUCCUGGUUCCUCUCUAGGUUGCUUCCUAGAUCUGCCUUUCUAGAGAGUUUUUCCUUGCCACUGUGCCUUUAAAUCUGCAUUGCUUGGGGUUUUAGGCUGGAUUUCUGUAUAGGCACGUUGUAACAUCUUCUGACGUUAAAAGAGCUUUAUAAAUAAAUCUGGAAAAAAAGAGCUUUAUAAAUACAUUUGAGCAGCACUUCCUCUUCAGGUGUUCAAAUCAAAUUUUAUUAGUCUCAUGCGCCGAAUACAACCUUACAGUGAAAUGCUGGAUUCACAAGCCCCUAACCAACAAUGCAGUUGAAUAAAUAAAUAAAAAUAUGAAUAAAAAAGAAAUGAAAGUACCAAGUAAUUAAAGAGCAGCAUUAAAAUAACAAUAGUGAGACUAUAUACAGGGGGGUACUGAUACAGCAGGUGGUCAUAAGGUUCUUGUUAGAAGCUAGAAGCUUGAUCUUGUUGACAGAGUAUUUAUCUGUACGUGUAAAGGUUCUGAUACAGCAAGCAAGAGUGUUGUGGUUUAGUUGAUACAUGCCUGGUUGAUCCCAUUUUACCAGACCAUUCUCCUCUACCAAUGAAGAGAUAUACACUGAGUGCACAAAACAUUAAAAAAACAAUCAUAAUAUUGAGUUGAACCCCCUCCCUUCUCCCUUUUCCCCUCAAAACAGUCUCAAUUCGUCAGGGCAUAGACUACAAUGUGUCGAAAGUGUUCCACAGGGACGCUGGCCCAUGUUGACUCCAACGCUUCCCACAGUUGUGUCAAGUUGGCUGGAUGUCCUUUGGGUGGUGGACCAUUCUUGAUACACAUGGGGAAACUAUUGGGUGUGAAAAGCCACCUACUUCCAUACCCCGUUCAAAGGCACUUAAAUAUUUUGUCUUGCCCAUUCACCCUCUGAAUAGCACACAUACACAAUCCAUGUCUGAAUUGUCUCAAGGCUUAGCAAUCCUUCUUUAACCUGUCUCCUCCCCUUCAUCUACACUGGUUGAAGUGGAUUUAACAAGUGACAUCAAUAAGGGAUCAUAGCUUUCACCUGGAUUCAUCUGGUCAGUCUAGGUCAUGGAAAGAGCAGUGUUCUUAAUGUUAUUUUUAGAAGCUACAAGCUUGAUAAUGUUGACACGUUUUCAGACUGAUUCCCGUCUACCAAUUUACAGUAAACAAAUGAGGAUACAUCAUCUACAUUGUGUUGCUGUGAUAUGCUCCAUAUUGUCUAUUAUCCACUAAUAUGUAGUAUUUUGCACCAUAGGGGUAUUCUGUACCGCAGGCUGAAAGACUUCACUUCUGUCAUUGAGGACCUGGUCCUGGCUGUGGAGCUGAGUGAGACUUGAGUCCAGGGGGCGGAGCCGAGCGGACACACCCAGGAAAAACUGAGGGCCGUGCAGUAGGCGGCCCAGGCCCAGCUGGUGCUCACCUAUAACGACUUUGCCGUGCCGUGCUUCUUCCCAUAGCUUCUACGCCGAGGAAACCAUGCUGCUCAGCAAGGCCGUCCAGGAGCAGAAGGAGGAAAGCGGCCUCCACAUUAACAGAGGAGACUGUUUCUUCCAGCAGGACGAGUGGGAGUUUGCCCUGGCUGACUACCAGCAGGCGGAGGAGAUGUCUCCUGAUGACCAGGCCAUCUGGAUCCGCCUCGCUGUCAUCCUCAACACCCUGGGCACACACUGCUACCAGGACUGGUGAGUCUCAGUCUGUCAUCCGUAACACUGUGUAUUGUCUUCACCGCAGGAAGUACCAUGAGGCAGCUCUGACAAGUUCUCUGAGGCCAUCAAGUACAACCCUGGAGUUAGACAGUACUAUGAGAACUGGGCCAAAGCCCCACCAUAAAGGGCCUAGCAAGAUGCCAUCAGUACCCUUCUCCUGGACCCCACUAAUGAUCAGAUGUGUUUCCCCAGAAUCUGCAGUGGGCUUGACAAGAUGACCCUGUCACAUGACACAGACACCCAGUCUGACAUCCAAUCCUCAGAGGACCAGUCUGACCAGGUGGCGGAGCCGCUUAAAGCCUGUGUGGCACCCCAGUACGUGUACAAGCAGAUCGUCAGGAUCAAUCAGCGGGUACUAGACCAGAAAAACACCCAGACACUGGGACAGACAAACUCAUCUGUGAGGUCACUUAAUAAAGCCCUUCAGUUCAAACUCUCUUUCCAUACCUCUUAUUCACAAAAUCACAUAAAACACUCAACUUAUGCUUCACCAUAGAUCAGUAUUUGUUUUAGUUGGGUCCUCCACCCGUAGAGAUUAUUGAAAGAGUCUCUCAUACUGAGCAGAGGUGCACUUCCUGUGUUGGCUGUGCCAGGUGAAGCGAGCAGUGCGAUUGGCCCUUGAACGGCGAUAGCCUCUGCAGUAUGAUGGGUCCAGUCUGGCCCCCACCCGCACAGUGGAACAGGAGCAGUCUGCACUGGUCUCUAAGGACAGGCUGUACCACUGUAGGAAGUUUGGGGGGUUUGGAGUGAAUUCCACAUAAGCAGCAACACUAUGGUGUUUACUACUCUUAGGGUGACAUGGUGGAGUGUGGCCAUAGUACUAUAGCUUGAGGUUGUCAUAGCACAACACUAUUCUCAAAUCCAACAGGUGUCAGUAGAGGCCCAGUUUUCCUUAGUUCCACCUCACCUGUUUGGAUUUACAGUCAUUUAUCCAUUAGUCUAGAUUGUCAGGGCUCAAGGAUUUUCUAAUGGGAUUGUUUUGUAUUGUUUAUGUCUAUAACUAUGAUUGACAGGCAAAUGGAGACAUGUAAAGGGCGUAUGACAAAAAGCAAGAUGUGGGCCAGUUAGAUGAAGGCAGUUCAAUGAUAUGACAGAUAGAAAUGAUGGAGAAGCUGUAGCUCUUUUGUAUACGUUAUAUUCCCUUGAGAAUUUAGUUGAAUGGCAAAGUUAUUGUGGCUUGGACCGUUUUUUUCCACAACAUUACAGUAUAUCUUUAUUUUUAACAAGAUCAUUUAGCUGUGUAAAUAUGCCUGAAAAUGAUGUUUUUUUCCCUUGCCAAAUAAAAUAAAGAUAUGUAUCAAGAUUAUA